rnacentral:rRNA from 1 species
AUUGAACGCUGGCGGCAUGCUUUACACAUGCAAGUCGAACGGUAACAGGGAGCUUGCUCCGCUGACGAGUGGCGAACGGGUGAGUAAUGCGUCGGAACGUGCCGAGUAGUGGGGGAUAACGCAUCGAAAGGUGUGCUAAUACCGCAUACGAACUGAGGUUGAAAGUGGGGGACCUUCGGGCCUCACGCUAUUCGAGCGGCCGACGUCUGAUUAGCUAGUUGGUGAGGUAAAGGCUCACCAAGGCGACGAUCAGUAGCGGGUCUGAGAGGAUGAUCCGCCACACUGGGACUGAGACACGGCCCAGACUCCUACGGGAGGCAGCAGUGGGGAAUUUUGGACAAUGGGCGCAAGCCUGAUCCAGCCAUGCCGCGUGUCUGAAGAAGGCCUUCGGGUUGUAAAGGACUUUUGUCCGGGAGCAAAUGCUGGUGGCUAACAUCCACCGGAGCUGAGAGUACCGGAAGAAUAAGCACCGGCUAACUACGUGCCAGCCGCCGCAGUAACAC